rnacentral:rRNA from 1 species
UCCUACGGGAGGCAGCAGUAGGGAAUCUUCCGCAAUGGACGAAAGUCUGACGGAGCAACGCCGCGUGAGUGAUGAAGGCUUUCGGGUCGUAAAACUCUGUUGUUAGGGAAGAACAAGUGCUAGUUGAAUAAGCUGGCACCUUGACGGUACCUAACCAGAAAGCCACGGCUAACUACGUGCCAGCAGCCGCGGUA